UGGGGAAUAUUGGACAAUGGGCGAAAGCCUGAUCCAGCCAUGCCGCGUGAGUGAAGAAGGCCUUAGGGUUGUAAAGCUCUUUUACCAGGGACGAUAAUGACGGUACCUGGAGAAUAAGCCCCGGCAAACUUCGUGCCAGCAGCCGCGGUAAUACGAAGGGGGCUAGCGUUGUUCGGAAUUACUGGGCGUAAAGCGCACGUAGGCGGGUCGUUAAGUCAGGGGUGAAAUCCCGGAGCUCAACUCCGGAACUGCCUUUGAUACUGGCGAUCUAGAGGUCGAGAGAGGUGAGUGGAAUUCCGAGUGUAGAGGUGAAAUUCGUAGAUAUUUGGAAGAACACCAGUGGCGAAGGCGGCUCACUGGCUCGAUACUGACGCUGAGGUGCGAAAGCGUGGGGAGCAAAC
rnacentral:rRNA from 1 species